GACGAACGCUGGCGGCGUGCUUAACACAUGCAAGUCGAACGGAAAGGCCCUGCUUUUGUUGGGUGCUCGAGUGGCGAACGGGUGAGUAACACGUGAGUAACCUGCCCUUGACUUUGGGAUAACUUCAGGAAACUGGGGCUAAUACCGGAUAGGAGCUCCUGCUGCAUGGUGGUGGUUGGAAAGUUUCGGCGGUUGGGGAUGGACUCGCGGCUUAUCAGCUUGUUGGUGGGGUAGUGGCUUACCAAGGCUUUGACGGGUAGCCGGCCUGAGAGGGUGACCGGCCACAUUGGGACUGAGAUACGGCCCAGACUCCUACGGGAGGCAGCAGUGGGGAAUAUUGCACAAUGGGCGGAAGCCUGAUGCAGCAACGCCGCGUGCGGGAUGCCGGCCUUCGGGUUGUAAACCGCUUUCGCCUGUGACGAAGAGUGAGUGACGGUAAUGGGUAAAGAAGCACCGGCUAACUACGUG
rnacentral:rRNA from 1 species